rnacentral:rRNA from 1 species
UUUAUGGAGAGUUUGAUCCUGGCUCAGGAUGAACGCUGGCGGCGUGCCUAAUACAUGCAAGUCGAGCGAACGGACGAGAAGCUUGCUUCUCUGAUGUUAGCGGCGGACGGGUGAGUAACACGUGGAUAACCUACCUAUAAGACUGGGAUAACUUCGGGAAACCGGAGCUAAUACCGGAUAAUAUUUUGAACCGCAUGGUUCAAAAGUGAAAGACGGUCUUGCUGUCACUUAUAGAUGGAUCCGCGCUGCAUUAGCUAGUUGGUAAGGUAACGGCUUACCAAGGCAACGAUGCAUAGCCGACCUGAGAGGGUGAUCGGCCACACUGGAACUGAGACACGGUCCAGACUCCUACGGGAGGCAGCAGUAGGGAAUCUUCCGCAAUGGGCGAAAGCCUGACGGAGCAACGCCGCGUGAGUGAUGAAGGUCUUCGGAUCGUAAAACUCUGUUAUUAGGGAAGAACAUAUGUGUAAGUAACUGUGCACAUCUUGACGGUACCUAAUCAGAAAGCCACGGCUAACUACGUGCCAGCAGCCGCGGUAAUACGUAGGUGGCAAGCGUUAUCCGGAAUUAUUGGGCGUAAAGCGCGCGUAGGCGGUUUUUUAAGUCUGAUGUGAAAGCCCACGGCUCAACCGUGGAGGGUCAUUGGAAACUGGAAAACUUGAGUGCAGAAGAGGAAAGUGGAAUUCCAUGUGUAGCGGUGAAAUGCGCAGAGAUAUGGAGGAACACCAGUGGCGAAGGCGACUUUCUGGUCUGUAACUGACGCUGAUGUGCGAAAGCGUGGGGAUCAAACAGGAUUAGAUACCCUGGUAGUCCACGCCGUAAACGAUGAGUGCUAAGUGUUAGGGGGUUUCCGCCCCUUAGUGCUGCAGCUAACGCAUUAAGCACUCCGCCUGGGGAGUACGACCGCAAGGUUGAAACUCAAAGGAAUUGACGGGGACCCGCACAAGCGGUGGAGCAUGUGGUUUAAUUCGAAGCAACGCGAAGAACCUUACCAAAUCUUGACAUCCUUUGACAACUCUAGAGAUAGAGCCUUCCCCUUCGGGGGACAAAGUGACAGGUGGUGCAUGGUUGUCGUCAGCUCGUGUCGUGAGAUGUUGGGUUAAGUCCCGCAACGAGCGCAACCCUUAAGCUUAGUUGCCAUCAUUAAGUUGGGCACUCUAAGUUGACUGCCGGUGACAAACCGGAGGAAGGUGGGGAUGACGUCAAAUCAUCAUGCCCCUUAUGAUUUGGGCUACACACGUGCUACAAUGGACAAUACAAAGGGCAGCGAAACCGCGAGGUCAAGCAAAUCCCAUAAAGUUGUUCUCAGUUCGGAUUGUAGUCUGCAACUCGACUACAUGAAGCUGGAAUCGCUAGUAAUCGUAGAUCAGCAUGCUACGGUGAAUACGUUCCCGGGUCUUGUACACACCGCCCGUCACACCACGAGAGUUUGUAACACCCGAAGCCGGU